GCCGGGUCCCGGAGGCCGCCGCCGCCAGCGCCCUCUGCCGAAGGCGACAGGAGUCUGUGAGCGGCGAUCCGCUGGUGCGCCGCUGGUGCCAGCUGCUGGCCAGCCGCGGCGCGCUGGUCCAGCUGUGUCUGCAGCGCGCUGUGCUGACCGACGCCCAGCAGUCUGCGCUGGUGCAGGUCAGCGGCGGUGGCUCGGCGCUGCUGCUGUUCUCUGUCGGCUGCCCCGGCCCCGGGU